AGGGGCAGCACGAGGUAGCAAUACUUUGGUGGCGACCGGCGCACGGGUGAGUAACGCGUAUGCAACCUACCCUGUACAGGGGGAUAGCCCGGAGAAAUUCGGAUUAAUACCCCAUAAUGAUAUCUGGAGGCAUCUUUGGAUAUUUAAAGAUUUAUCGGUACGGGAUGGGCAUGCGUAACAUUAGCUAGUUGGUAGGGUAACGGCCUACCAAGGCAACGAUGUUUAGGGGUCCUGAGAGGGUGAUCCCCCACACUGGUACUGAGACACGGACCAGACUCCUACGGGAGGCAGCAGUGAGGAAUAUUGGUCAAUGGGCGUAAGCCUGAACCAGCCAUCCCGCGUGCAGGAAGACGGCGCUAUGCGUUGUAAACUGCUUUUCCAGGGGAAGAAAACUCUCGUCGUGACGAGACUUGCCGGUACCUUGGGAAUAAGCAUCGGCUAACUCCGUGCCAGCAGCCGCGGUAAUACGGAGGAUGCGAGCGUUAUCCGGAUUUAUUGGGUUUAAAGGGUGCGUAGGCGGAUUAAUAAGUCAGUGGUGAAAACCUGCAGCUUAACUGUAGAACUGCCAUUGAUACUGUUAGUCUUGAGUACGGUCAAGGUAGGCGGAAUGUGUAAUGUAGCGGUGAAAUGCUUAGAUAUUACACAGAACACCGAUUGCGAAGGCAGCUUACUGGGCCAUUACUGACGCUGAUGCACGAAAGCGUGGGGAGCGAACAGGAUUAGAUACCCUGGUAGUCCACGCCCUAAACUAUGUCAACUAGGUGUUGGGUGGGUAAAACCAUUUAGUACCGUAGCUAACGC
rnacentral:rRNA from 1 species